UGCGUAGACGGUUUCGUAAGUCGGGUGUGAAAUCCCCGGGCUCAACCUGGGAAUUGCAUUCGAAACUGCGAGGCUUGGGUGCGGAAGAGGGAAGCGGAAUUUCCGGUGUAGCGGUGAAAUGCGUAGAUAUCGGAAGGAACAUCAGUGGCGAAAGCGGCUUCCUGGUCCAGCACCGACGUUCAGGCACGAAAGCGUGGGGAGCAAACAGGAUUAGAUACCCUGGUAGUCCACGCCAUAAACGACGAGAACUAGACGUUGAGAGGGUAAGCCUCCCAGUGUCGUAGCUAACGCGCUAAGUUCUCCGCCUGGGGAGUUACGGCCGCAAGGUUGAA
rnacentral:rRNA from 1 species